rnacentral:snoRNA from 1 species
CAGCACUUUAUUUUUAUUAGGAGUGAGAAACAAGGCUACACAUUUGCUAUAUGAGACCAUGUACAUGUCCCGAGACCUUGUUCUUUCCUUGGCUCUGGGUUCAUACAUGCUUGUGAUAAAC